ACAGUAUACGACGACAUUUUAAGCUUUUAGCUUCCGUAAUCUCAUCCGGCGUAGCUAACCCAGAGUCACGGUCAAUAAAUCGAAGGGCAAGGAUUGAAUUUGCCUGUCUGGUUUCGAUAUUAAGCUUUGAAAUGAAGGGACAGCGAUGGAGUCAUUUGCCUUCUGAUAAGAUGAGUUUAAAUCCUCCCCUAGAUGGUGGAUGCCGUGCGCACAUAGAAUGAAGAAUGAUCAGAUGAAGACGUGCUGAGUAAAAGUAAAUCCUACCUGUGGCCCUCUCAGGUGAGCAUGAACAUCUCGGAAGCAGUUAACAGCACUAGUGAUGAUGUAGAAAAGGAUGAAGAGGAAUAAAUUCUCAAGAGAUUGAGAAAUAAAUUCUAUUCUUUAUUUAUAAUUCCUUUAUUUCAUAAUUUUUAUUGAUUUUAGUUUUUCACAAAAAAUAUUUUUUAUUAAUUUUUCAAUUAUAUUAAUUUUAAAAAUAUUUAAUAAAAUCAAAAAAAAUAUUUUGAAUAUUAUUUAAAAAAAUAAUAAUUAAUGAGAAAUUAUUUUAGAAAUAAAAUAAAAUUAAAAUAAUUAAUUUAUAUGUUAACAAUAAUGGAUUAUAAUUUUAAGACAAUUAAAAAAAUAAAUAAAAAUUAUAAGACGG